rnacentral:rRNA from 1 species
AUGGCCAUGGCGGCGGCCCGCCCGCGCCUCCUCCUCCUGCUCGCCGCGGCGGCGGCGGCGCUCCUCCUCACCCCGGCCCACGCCUUCUACCUCCCGGGGAGCUACCCGCACAAGUACGCCCCGGGGGAGCCCCUCAGCGUGAAGGUGAACUCGCUCACCUCCAUCGACACCGAGAUCCCCUACAGCUACUACAGCCUGCCCUUCUGCGCGCCGCCGGAGGGGGUCAAGGACAGCGCGGAGAACCUCGGGGAGCUGCUCAUGGGCGACCGCAUCGAGAGCUCGCCCUACCGCUUCAAGAUGCACGCCAACGAGUCGGACGUGCUGCUCUGCCGCUCCGCCCCCCUCUCCCCGCCGGACUUCGCGCUCCUCAAGCGCCGCAUCGACGAGAUGUACCAGGUCAACCUCAUCCUCGACAACCUCCCCGCCAUCCGCUACACCCGUAAGGACGACUACUUCCUCCGCUGGACGGGGUACCCCGUCGGCAUCCGCGUUGGCGUCGACUACUACGUCUUCAACCACCUCCAGUUCACCGUGCUCGUGCACCGCUACGAGGACCCCAACGUCGCCCGCGUCAUGGGCGCCGCCGGCGACGCCUCCGACGGCGCCGCCGUCCCCGCCAACGCCGGCAAGGACGCCUCCGCCGCCCCCGGCUGGAUGGUCGUCGGCUUCGAGGUCGUGCCCUGCAGCAUCAAGCACAACCCCGAGGACGCCAGGGCCGUCAAGAUGUACGGCAAAUUCCCCAGCAAGAUCAAGUGCGACCCCUCCACCGUCUCCAUGAGCAUCAAGGAGAACGAGCCCAUCGUCUACACCUACGAGGUCUCCUUCGUCGAGAGCGACAUCAAGUGGCCCUCCCGGUGGGACGCCUACCUCAAGAUGGAGGGCGCCAAGGUGCACUGGUUCUCCAUCCUCAACUCGCUCAUGGUCAUUGCGUUCCUCGCCGGCAUCGUCUUCGUCAUACUGCUCAGGACCGUCAGGCGCGAUCUCACGAGGUACGAGGAGCUCGACAGUGAGGCGCAGGCCCAGAUGAACGAGGAGCUGUCCGGGUGGAAGCUCGUGGUCAGCGAUGUCUUCCGUGCGCCCAGCAACCCAAUGCUGCUCUGCAUGAUGGUUGGUGAUGGGGUUCAGAUCCUCGGAAUGGCCGUGGUCACCAUCCUGUUUGCCGCGCUUGGGUUCAUGUCGCCGGCCUCCCGUGGUACCCUGAUCACAGGCAUGCUCUUCUUCUACCUGGUCCUCGGGAUCCUGGCAGGAUACGCCAGUGUCCGCGUCUGGAAGACAAUCAGGUGUGGAGAUCACUCGGGCUGGGUGGGUGUUUCGUGGAGGACAGCCUGCUUCUUCCCUGGUAUCGCGUUCCUGAUCCUCACCACACUCAACUUCCUGCUGUGGGGAAGCCAGAGCACCGGCGCCAUCCCCUUCUCGCUGUUCGUUGUGCUGAUCCUGCUCUGGUUCUGCAUCUCUGUGCCGCUUACGCUUGUCGGCGGGUUCCUCGGUGCCAAGGCGCCGCACAUCGAGUACCCUGUCCGCACGAACCAGAUCCCGCGUGAGAUCCCUGCCCAGAAGUACCCGUCCUGGCUGCUGGUUCUCGGCGCCGGCACACUGCCCUUCGGCACCCUGUUCAUCGAGCUCUUCUUCAUCAUGUCAAGCAUCUGGAUGGGGCGCGUGUACUACGUCUUCGGGUUCCUCUUCAUCGUGAUGCUGCUCUUGGUCAUCGUCUGCGCCGAGGUCUCCCUGGUCCUGACCUACAUGCACCUCUGCGUGGAGGACUGGAAGUGGUGGUGGAAGUCAUUCUUCUCAUCCGGAUCCGUGGCCAUCUACAUCUUCCUCUACUCGAUCAACUACCUGGUGUUCGACCUCAAGAGCCUGAGCGGGCCGGUGUCGGCCACCCUCUACCUCGGCUACUCGCUCUUCAUGGUCAUCGCCAUCAUGCUGGCCACCGGCACGGUCGGGUUCAUCUCCUCGUUCUGCUUCGUGCACUAUCUCUUCUCGUCUGUGAAGGCCGAUUAA